rnacentral:rRNA from 1 species
GACGCCGGCGUGGGGGACGAAGGCCUUCGGGUGUAAACCCCUGUCAGAGGGAAAGAAGGGUGUCGGCGCGAUAACCGCCGGCAUCUGACGGUACCUUCAGAGGAAGCCCCGGCCAACUCUGUGCCAGCAGCCGCGGUAAGACAGAGGGGGCAAGCGUUGCUCGGAAUCACUGGGCGUAAAGGGCGCGUAGGCGGGAUGGCAAGUCAGUCGUGAAAUCUCUCGGCUCAACCGAGAAACGUCGGCUGAUACUGCCGUUCUUGAGGGAUGCAGAGGAGACUGGAAUUCCCGGUGUAGCGGUGAAAUGUGUAGAGAUCGGGAGGAACACCGGUGGCGAAGGCGGGUCUCUGGGCAUUUCCUGACGCUGAGGCGCGAAAGCGUGGGGAGCAAACGGGAUUAGAUACCCCGGUAGUCCACGCUGUAAACGAUGACGACUAGGUGUGGGGUGGGUUAGUCCAUUCCGUGCCGCAGCUAACGCAUUAAGUCGUCCGCCUGGGGAGUACGGCCGCAAGGUUG